GUUUGGGUGUUUCCAUUUGUUUGGAAUUAGUAUUUUAUGGCGCAUUUGUGUUAUUACCAUCUGUAUAAGUGGCCAUCAGCACAUCCUUUCUGGACAUGGAUAGUAGUUCACACAGCUUCACACAGCUUCAAUGGAGGGACUGAGAGCUUUCGGUCUAAAUCUAAAAUAUCUUAAACUGUGUUCCGAAGAUAAACAGAGUUCUUAUGGGUUUGGAACAUGAGGGCAAGUUAUUAAUGACAUAAUUUUAAUAUUUGGCUGAACUAACCCUUGAAGAGAACUAAAUAUAUCCUGUUCGUACAUUAUAACAUUAUUAUGCCAGCCGUUAUUAUUUCUAAAUGUAACAAAAUGCAACUUAUAAAUUAAUUAUAUAAUUAAAAAAAAACAUGCAGCAAACGAAAAUAGGUGAUUAAUCCGUUAAAAUGCAACCUAUACACUGACUCAUAUAUUUUUUCCUCUCACAAACUUAAUUUAUUUUUUUAGCGUGUUUAAAAAAAAAAAAAUUAAGAAAACAUGCAGCAAAUGAAAAUUGCCAAUUAAUCCAUUAAAAUUUGUUACUCUGGGUUAACAGUAAUUAUAAUUAUUAUAUACCUCAGAGCAGAGCCUGCAUAUGGGCCUAAUCUAGGCUAUUCAGUUUUUUUUUUUUUUUUUCAUUGCAUCUGAAAAUGACUGUGCAGCAUAUUCACUUCAUGUGCUCUGGCACAGAUCAGCCUCCCGCGAUGCUCAACUGUGUUCUAACUAGUUCUAAUUAUAUUGUUAACACAAGAUAAUUUUAGGCUAUUAAACAUGCACUGUGACAUUUUACCCUUUUUAAUUUAUAAACUCCUUGAGGUUUUAAAGUUAGUUUAAUAGUAUUUAAAUUAAAGUUUAAAAAUAGGUUUAUUAAUAACUGCUUAAAUUUAAUAACUGCUUAAAUUAUUUCUGGAUGAAUUAGGAACAUGUUAUCAUGUUUAUUCUUGUAGAAAAUAAGUGUUUAUUUUAUUUAUUUAAGAAAAUAAGGGAAAAACUAAGGGACGAUCCAAAUUUGCUUCACCUAUUUAUGUAGGCUACAAUUAUUCAUAAAUAAAUAAAUAAAUCGGCCUGAGUAAAUUUGACCAUUAUAGAAUUGUGACUUUAAAGGUUAGUGAUUUAGGAGGUGAAAAUACUGUGAAAUUACAAAUGGAAUUGGAUUUUAGAGCAUAACAACUGACGGUUUAUGAAACGUUAGCCAAUAAAGCGGUUUUUUUUAAACAAUGGAACUUAAAGUUUUGAACUAAAAUAUCAUUUCAACCAUACAGCAUGUGAAUAAAUAAAAUGCAUACUUUUCAUAACAUUUUAUUAUUCAUAAAAUGCAUAACGUUUCUGGUGUCUGGAUUUGUACUUCGAUAUAAUGAGCUCCAAGUUUAAGAAUAGCCCUAGACUAGUUUCUCUCUCUCUCUUUCUCUUUCUCUCUCUCACUCUCACUCACUCACUCACUCACUCACCCACUCUCUCUCUCUCUCUCUCUCUCUCUCUCUCUCUCUCUAUUUAACUGCAUUAGCUCAAUGAAUACGUCUUCCUUCAGGCAAAAUUAAUGUUUCCUGCCUUGCUAAAUGUUGCUGUUAUGAUCAAUAAGUUGUAUUCGCCUCAAUAUGAUUUAGUAAAGUCAAACCGCAGACGGUGAAGCUGCGUCAGUUAGCGGAGUAGCUGACGGAGGACUCCGCUUCGUCCUCCUUCGGACGCACCUGGAAAAAACGUGCGCGUCGCACCGCGUGCGAAACGCGACCGUGUCGCUUCCCCUAUGAGCGCGCAUACCGCGCGCCUACAUUGGAAAUAAUGAACUUGAGCGCACAAAAGACGGAUAUGUGAACGGCCCUGAAGAACUUCGGUCUUCUGCAGUACUUCAAAUAUGCCGUGGAGAAUCACAGAAAGUGACCGAAUUCAAGAACAUUGUUGCGGCAUUUCUCAAGCAAUGAAUAAACACCACUAAGGUGGAGAAUGCAAUGAAAACUCCUCUUCUCGCAUCUGCCCUAGACCCUCAACACAAACAUCUCAGGUUUCUCGGUGAAAACAUGAGAGAAGUAAGAAAAAACAUUUUGAACAUUAUCAGAAUGAUUUCCUUGAUGCGAGUGGUGCGUAUGCAGCCGCGGUCACCAACGAUGAAGAGGAUCCAGCAAUGCCCACUCGUCGGAAAAGGCUGAGCCAGUUCUUCAACGAUGAUUACAGAGAGUCCAGCCAAGUCGAGUGGUAACAGUUCUUGCUGGAGCCAUGUAUUCCACCAGAUGAGGAUCCCAUUCAGUGGUGAAACGAAAACACGAAGCGCUUCACAAAACAUAUUCGCUUAUUUGUGAGUCCCGACAACGUCUGUGCCGUCAGAGAGCGUUUUCUCCACUGCCUUUUAACUGUUAACAGACUAAGGAGCCGACUUUCCCCCCGAUCAUGAAAAGAUUUGAUGACAGUUUAAAAGUUUAAAAGUUAAGUGUAGGCUACGUUCUACAAUAGCCUAAUUGCUGCAGGCUGCUUUUUUUCCUUUGUUCACUUUUUUUUUUUUUUUUGCUUUUAAUGUGUACUUUUGUUUGUUUGCACGCAUUGUCAAAGGUUUUCAGCUACAAAACACGAUGUGUAAUGUUCAAGCUUAUUGUGUGUAAGCACAAAUUGUGUGUAAUGACGGAAACAAUAAAUGUUGCUGAAAAAUCUCAUUAAACUUAAUUUAAAUAAACGAAUAUUUGAAUAUUCGUUUCUUGUGAGCUCAAAUAUUCAAAUGUGAUAUUUGCGGAAAACGCCCAUCCCUAGUUUUUACUCACUUCAAGAGCCUCCAUCACGAGUACAGUUCAUGCCAACAGCCCGUAAUUUAACUGCAUAUUCAGCAAGAAUUCAUGUUAAACAUAUUUAUGGCUUGAUCAGGUUAGUGGGAUGUUAAAGGCUAAGGAGUUUGUCUGUUUCUUUUACUGAUUAUUUUCGGGUUAAAGCAUGAUUUAAACAGAAAAAGAACAUUCACACGCAAUCGCUCUAGCAAUAAUGCAUUAAAACACAUGUAAUUUUACAGUGCUACUACAUUAUCAGUAGGCUACCUGAUUUUGAAAUCUUGUUCUUGUUUGAAAUUCAUCGAUCUGUUUAGAUAAAAUAUCUGACAAAAAUGUAAUGUUAUUUUCCUCACAAACAAAAUUUGCAUAGCAGAAAACAGAUAUUAAAGGUUUAAUGCUUACAAUGUUAUUAGUUUGGCAUGUGAUAGGGAAAAAAUGCACUUUGAAACUCUCCUGUUAUUUUUGUAUUUUUAUUAAAUUUUGGGGGCUUUUGGGGUCCUUAACGUGCUCAAAAACUCUUGAAAAUUUGCGCACACCUUGGAAUCUGUGGCCUUUAGGAGACCGCAGAGGCUGGGACCCGGGCGUGCCACAGGGGCUCUACAGCGCCCCCUGGAACACUGUCAGAAAUGUUGAUGUAUAGCUCACACAUACUUGCACGUAUUAAUAUGAAACUCAGUACACAUAUAGAUCUCAUUGUGCCGAACCUUUUGUAUUGCAUGUCAUAGGCUCCGUCCAACAGGAAGUCAGCUAUUUAGAGCUAUGUAAAAAGUGCAUGCUCUGGAAUUUGAUAUACUUGUCAUAGGUUUUUUUACCCGAUUGCCACCAAACUCGGUCAACAUGAUCUCAAGACAUUGGGGAUGAAAAAUUGCCAGGGGAUUUUUGAUAUCUCGAACGGUUUGCUCGUGGCGAGGCUUUGAAAUUAUGGCGAGAAAUGAGAAACAGGAAGUGUCUAAUACCAUCCACAUACUUUUCCUGAUUUUAAUCAAACUUCAUCAGAUUAUUUGUUGUAUGAUGUCGAUUGCAUAUAUGUGACUAUUAGGAGUCAAAGUUAUAGCGCCACCAACUGGCAGCAGGAAGUGUGUCAUUUUCAAAAUGCUUUGAAUUCAGCAUCUUAUUUUUACUCAAUAUGCUUCAAACUUCAUCAGAAUAAUGUUAAAACACAGCCGAUAUAAAUCUGCUGGGGGGAUAUUGAUAUCUAAAAAUAUUGUUGCCGUGGCAACAUGUCAAACUGGAAUACUUCUCAGGUGAUUUUGAGGCAUAUAACAAACUUAGAAUUUCACUAAACUCAGAACACUAAUCAGUAUUUUUGAUAGCUAGACACUGGCAAAAGCUUAUUAAGGGCGUACAAGAGGCUCUCUAUUAGCGCCACCUUUUGACAAAAGUGGGAGGGUUAGUUUUAGCUACAGACACCAAACUUGGUACAUAUAUUGAUCUUAUCAAAACGGACAACUUUCUAAUUCACAGUCACCAGCUGCGACCAACAGGAAGUCAGCUAUUUUGAAUCUGGAUUUUUGUAAAGCUACAGCUGUGAAUUAAUGCAUACUGCUCAGAAGAGAAGUACACUAUACACACCAAACUUUGUCUACAUGUUGCAAAAACAUUGAGGAACAGAUUUUGGAUAGCUUGAAUGUAGGGCUGGGGUAAACGAUUAUUUUUUAAACGAUUAAUCUAGCGAUUAUUUUUUCGACGCAUCCAUUAAUCUAACGAUUAAUUUUUCAGACCGAUUCGAUUUCGAUUAUCUCCCCAAUAAUUGACUACUAACAAUUUAUACAUGUUGAUUUACAUAUCUGAAUGAAAAAAAACACGAAUUCCUUAACAUUGCAAUAUAUGUUUAUUGCUCUUAAAAUUACAAAAUAAAAGACUGACUAAGAAUGCAUUACUUUGCACUUGUAUAGAGAUACCAUUCAAUAAAACCUUGAAGCCUUGAAAACACAUAGCUUACUGAAACAAGCUUACUGAACACAUAGGGCCUAGCUUACUGAAAAAAAGUUCUUCUUUCAGAUGAAAAUAACAACAACUUGAUGUCUAGCAUUCAAUAAAAAAGGUCACCCAAAAUACUUGUUUAGAGAGCAAUUGAAAGAAUACAGUAACCAAUGUAAACUUGAGGGCUUUAAGUGUAUACAGAGAGUGCUUUUCCAAAAAAAAAAAAAAAAAAAUUAACAGUGGGAGCCAUCAGCCUGUAAUGGAGAAAAAAAAAUCUCUGAAUGCUCCAUGUGAAACUUUGGCGUUCCGCCCAUUUUCUAUCGUGUUUAAUGAUUUUGAUUAAUAUGCACAAGGGAGAGAGAGAGCAAAAAUCGCUCGUGUUGUUUAAGGCUGUGAGUGUGCGCGCGCAGCCGGGGCUCUCUCUCGUACGCGCCCUGUCAGGCGCAGCAGUCAUUCUAUUCUACGUCACUCACCGAUCAAAUAAGGCUUUGACAGCCGCCCCCAAAAAAAAAGAUAAAUGCAGAAAAACCCCUGGAUUGGUUAUAUAAUGUUAGACAGAAUGUUGAUCCGGCCAUCGCGUAUAUUCAACGCACAUAAAGUAGAGAAAUAUUUACUUUUUAAUUUGAGAAAUAAAAACAGGUCGACGAAUUGAUGCGCAUAUUUUGUGUCUACGUAUUUUUUGCAUCGACGUCAACGAUGACCUCGACGAGUUGUCCCAGCCCUACUUGAAUGGUUUUGCCGUGGUGAUUAUUUGAAAUGACCGUAAAAAGGGAAUCAUUAAUUGUAUUUUUAAAUUGCAGCUUCCAAACACGUCAAAUAAUUUUUUCAUACAGAUGAAAAAGACAUUCCGAGGAAAUAUGCAUAGUUUCAUGACUUUCAUGACUACCACACUGUAACAUUACAGAACAUUACAGAACAGAACAUUAACAUUCAUUCAAAGAUUUUCAAUUGAAUCUUUACACAAAUUAAAUAUUACAAAUAACAAUGAUUUUUGUAAAAUAAUGAUUAAUUAUUAAUUAAUGAUUUGUUAUUAUCAUUAUUGUCUUGUGAUAAUAAUAAUAUGGGCUGCGAGAAAAUAAUGAAUACAAAGAUUAGUGCUGCUGAGUGCAGGCAUAUUUCAGCCCAGUAACACACCAUUCAAGAAGGGUCUGGCUGCAGACUUGCACUUGCACUCUUUUAGAGUUGCACUCUAAGACACUUGUGUUUCUGCUGGCGACGUCACUUGCAGUGUUUAUUUUAUUUUUGUUUGAAUCUUUCAACAUUUUGCAACAGUAGCCAGGUGGUGAAGACAAGAAAAAAGAAACUAAAUUACAAUGUCACUUGCAAUCGCUACUUGCACUCUCCGCUACCUGUGACGUCUCUUGCAAUCAACACAAAAAAUAAUGCAUGUUGCCAAUGGAGACAAGACGCUGUGUUGGUGAUUAAAUGAUUAAAACUAAAUUAGUAGUCCUCCUGUAGAAAAAACAAACACUUAAUAUGUAUUUAAUAAUGUAUAUAAUGUAUUAGGAUAGGUUAAGUUAAAUUAAAAGACCAAAUUCGAUAUAUAGUUAUUAUUUAAUGUACUGCAAGGCAAGCAAAUGGCUAUGAACACAAUGCGAACGUUUAAUGGUCUAAUAACAGACUAAGAUGAUAAAGACAAUUCAGUAGGCAUAGCCUAUAUGUCUUGUUGUUGACUCAACAUAUAUAGGGCUUAGGGCUGGGUAUUGUUCAAAAUCUUUCGAUCCGGUGCCAGUUUCGAUACCUCAGUUUCGAUACCGGUUUAUAACGAUACUUUUUUCGAUACCAUAUGUUUUAAAAUCCAUUUCUACAUCAACACAAAUACAUUAAACACAAAACCUUUAUUUCUCACCUUAAUGAAAACAAAUUCUGGUAACACUUCACGCUCAGGAUAACAUUAUUAAUACAACUGGUUGUGCUUUUUGGAUAGGGGUGUGCCAUUCAGGGGCAGACUGGGACCAAAAAGUGGCCCUGGACUUUCUGGCCCACAGCAGCCCACCACAUCAUAAUGCAAACGCCCCUGUUUUGAUGUCAUUUAUUAAUUUAAUAUUUAAGUAAACAGUUUGGGGAUUUUAACCAAUAGGGCAACUGAAAAAAAAAGAAGAAAAAAGAACAGCAGCUGUUCAUUUAGCGACUCCUAGUGAGCAAUACAUGCUCAUCAAGACACAAACAUUCUUCUAGAACUAACACUUUGCAUUCAGUUAGCAGAUCCAUACGAAUCAUGCAUGAAAUAGAAGUUUAUAAACUCAAACGACAGCUUUAUGUGCUUUACAUCUCAAGUCACACAACAUUUGCAACGUUUCUGAAAUGCUGCUCGCACUUGUUUCUAAAUAUUGCUGAUUCAAGCGUUUUAAACAAUUCGUGCGCGUUCGGAGCUUUCGCUCACUCAUUGAAAGCACGCGCUGCGAGAAGCAUUUCAGACAAUGCGCGUACAGAGAAUGAAUUCAUCUUUCGCGUAUCGUAACUUCUGAAUGAACACAUACACACACAAUUAUAUCAAAAUAAUUGUCUCUGCAAGUAGGCUAUUCUCGUAAAUACUAGUGUUUCUUGUGUUUCAAGAUACACAAUGGAGUAGACCAAACUAAACAGGGAGGGAGGGCAAAACACUCUUCCAAACAAAUGCUUCAUUAACACCGGCUUUGGUUGCAAUACUCUUAUCGCAUAUGUUGCACUUUGCUGACUCGGCAUCCACUUUUAUAAAGUGUAGCCACACUUUAGACCUCUUUGUCAUUGUAAAACGGAAUCGUUUUGAGAAAAAACAACUACAGUUGUGUUGUGUGACUGCGAGUAUCUUCAGAAAAGCUCCCCGUCACGUCACGUUGUGGUGGACAGCCAAUCACGGUGAAUUUUGGUCCUUACAUGCACAUAUGCUUCAAGCUCACACAGACACAACCGCUUGGCAAAAAAAAAAAAAAAAUCUGGCCACUUGGCUUUUGGAACCGAACUUUGGCACCGAAAGAUAAAUAAUUUUUCGAUUCUCAUAGUAUCGAAGUUUUUCGUUCGAUACCAUAAAGGCAUCGAAGUUCGGUACCCAGCCCUAAUAGGGCUACAGACCAGCAAAUAUGAACGUGCAUUAUGAAAUGCAUUAAGUGAUUUUAAAAGGAUCAGCUCUGUACAGGCAAGCAGACGAGUACAGAACGCAGUGCGUUAAAUUGUAACGUUACAUUAAAUGUUUUCCUCCUAUAGAAAAUCAUUAUAAAUAAAACGCAUAAUAUAGCUUAAUGGACAAAGACAGUGAUAUAAACAAGUUGUAGACAGUUUAUUCUAGAUGGAAAAAAUGCUUUACGCGAAGCUUUGCGCGUUGCGUUUAUUCACCACCACAGCUUCUUGUCUCCAUUGGCAACAAGCACGAUUUGUGUCGAUUGGAAGUGUCGCAGGUAGCAGAGUGCAAGUAGUGAUUGCAAGUGACAUUGUAAUUUAGUUAAUUUUUUCUUGUCUUCGCCACCUGGCUACUGUUAUAAAAUGUUGGGAAAUUCAAACAAAAAGUAAAAAAAAAAAAAAAAAUCUAUAAAAUAAAAAAUAAAGACUGCAAGUGAUGUCACUAGCAGAAGUUCAAGUGU